AUAUCCCAAAAAGGAGACGCGUGGCGUCGCCGUCGAUUUCACGCCCACCGGAGAGAGAGAGAGAGAGAGAGAGAGAUGGCGGAGCUUACUGUGAUUCUGUACAUGCUUACAAUUUCUCUCUUUACGGCAACCGUCUCAGCCUCUCCGUGUCCAGCUAAUGGAUUACCACUAGUGAGGAAUAUCAGUGAGCUACCACAAGAUAACUAUGGAAGGCCUGGGUUAUCUCACAUUACCAUUGCAGGUUCGCUCAUGCAUGGGCUGAAAGAGGUUGAGAUAUGGCUUCAAACGUUUGCACCAGGAACACGCACACCGAUUCAUAGGCAUUCAUGUGAGGAAGUUUUUGUAGUCCUAAAAGGGAGUGGGACUCUUUAUCUUGCCUCAAAUUCUCAUGCAAAGUCCCCUGGCAAGCCAGAAGAGUUUAGAAUCUUUUCAAAUAGCACAUUUUUCGUCCCUGUUAAUGAUGCUCACCAGCUCUGGAACACAAAUGAAGAAGAAGAUUUGCAAGUUUUGGUUAUAAUAUCUCGUCCACCAAUUAAAAUAUUCAUGUAUGACGAUUGGCUGGUGCCACACACUGCGGCCAAACUGAAGUUCCCAUAUUUGUGGGAUGAACAAUGCUACCAGUCAACUUUAAAAGAUGARCUUUGACCUUCAGGCCAUAACGUUACAAGUUUCGCUGAUAUGCCAUCCUGUUCUCUUGUAAGUCUCUCGUGGAGCGUAAGCGGGUUCUUGUUCUUCAACAGCAGUUUGAAACUCCAUCCACAAAUUUAGAAGGGGAUAUCUCGACAAUGAAGAUAUGUUUAUGGAUCAUUAUACAACAUCGAAAUAGACURGAGUACGGUGAGUUCGUUGGUGUUUCUUGUUCUUGGUUCAUUCACAUUUUCAUGGAUACCAUUAAAAUAGGAUUCGAGACGGUUGUUUACUAGCCACSUUUUUUAUACCAAUGAGAAGAGUUGUAAAACGAAUGAUGGUUGGUUUGUGCAAGAUCUUAAAAAGAGUCGAAUAAACGAGAUUCGCAUAGUUGCUACUUGUUAAAGCGUACAAAGAAACACACUKGAAGUAAUUUUUGGUCAAUUUUUGAUGUAAUUCUGUAACAAAAACAAAUACGAUGCACGUUUG